rnacentral:rRNA from 1 species
UACGUAGGGUGCGAGCGUUGUCCGGAAUUAUUGGGCGUAAAGAGCGUGUAGGCGGCCAUACAGGUCCGUUGUGAAAACUGGAGGCUUAACCUCCAGACGUCGAUGGAAACCGUAUGGCUAGAGUCCGGAAGAGGAGAGUGGAAUUCCUGGUGUAGCGGUGAAAUGCGCAGAUAUCAGGAAGAACACCCGUGGCGAAGGCGGCUCUCUGGGACGGUACUGACGCUGAGACGCGAAAGCGUGGGGAGCGAACAGG